rnacentral:rRNA from 1 species
AGGGUUUGAUUAUGGCUCAGAUUGAACGCUGGCGGUAUGCUUAACACAUGCAAGUCGAACGGAAACGAUACUAGCUUGCUAGUAGGCGUCGAGUGGCGGACGGGUGAGUAACGCGUAGGAAUCUGCCUGAUAGUGGGGGAUAGCCCGGAGAAAUUCGGAUUAAUACCGCAUAAUCUAUUCGUAGUAAAGUGGGGGACUUUCGAGCCUCACGCUAUCAGAUGAGCCUGCGUAAGAUUAGCUUGUUGGUAGGGUAAAAGCCUACCAAGGCGACGAUCUUUAGCUGGUCUGAGAGGAUGAUCAGCCACAUCGGGACUGAGACACGGCCCGAACUCCUACGGGAGGCAGCAGUGGGGAAUAUUGGACAAUGGGGGCAACCCUGAUCCAGCAAUACCGCGUGUGUGAAGAAGGCCUGAGGGUUGUAAAGCACUUUCAAUUGUGAAGAAAAGUUAACGGUUAAUAACCGUUAGCCUUGACGUUAACUUUAGAAGAAGCACCGGCUAACUCCGUGCCAGCCGCCGCGGUAAUUCA